rnacentral:rRNA from 1 species
GACGAACGCUGGCGGCGUGCUUAACACAUGCAAGUCGAACGGUGAAGCGCCUUCCUUUUUGGUGGGUGUGGAUGAGUGGCGAACGGGUGAGUAACACGUGAGUAACCUGCCCCCUUCUUCUGGAUAACCGCAUGAAAGUGUGGCUAAUACGGGAUAUUCUGGGUCUGUCGCAUGAUGGGUCUGGGAAAGAUAUUGUUUCGGUGGGGGAUGGGCUCGCGGCCUAUCAGCUUGUUGGUGGAGUGAUGGCCUACCAAGGCGGUGACGGGUAGCCGGCCUGAGAGGGUGGACGGUCACACUGGGACUGAGACACGGCCCAGACUCCUACGGGAGGCAGCAGUGGGGAAUAUUGCACAAUGGGCGCAAGCCUGAUGCAGCGACGCCGCGUGAGGGAUGGAGGCCUUCGGGUUGUGAACCUCUUUCGCCAGUGAAGCAGGCCUGCCUCGUUUGUGGGUGGGUUGACGGUAGCUGGAUAAGAAGCGCCGGCUAACUACGUG